UACGUAGGGACCAAGCGUUGUCCGGAAUCAUUGGGCGUAAAGCGCGCGUAGGUGGCCAUUUAAGUCCGCUGUGAAAGUCAGAGGCUCAACCUUUGAAAGCCGGUGGAUACUGGAUGGCUAGAGUACGGAAGAGGCGAGUGGAAUUCCUGGUGUAGCGGUGGAAUGCGCAGAUAUCAGGAGGAACACCAAUAGCGAAGGCAGCUCGCUGGGACGUUACUGACACUAAGGCGCGAAAGCGUGGGGAGCAAACAGGG
rnacentral:rRNA from 1 species